AGUAAUAGGAAUAAAAUAUACGACUUCAUUGUUUCUGAAAGACAAAGUGGAAAAUUGUAGUCUCUAGGUUCUUCAAGAUUGUAAAGAAAACUCCUUCGCCUUUUUUAACUUGUAUUUACAUUGCAAUAGAAAUUUAAAACAUAAAAGUUAUAUUAAAAACAUGGAAAAUAAAAAAUCAAUAAUUUGAA